rnacentral:rRNA from 1 species
AUUGAACGCUGGCGGCAUGCCUUACACAUGCAAGUCGAACGGUAACAGGUCUUCGGAUGCUGACGAGUGGCGAACGGGUGCGUAAUACAUCGGAACGUGCCCGAUCGUGGGGGAUAACGAAGCGAAAGCUUUGCUAAUACCGCAUACGAUCUACGGAUGAAAGCAGGGGACUGCAUGGCCUUGCGCGAACGGUGCGGCCGAUGGCAGAUUAGGUAGUUGGUGAGAUAAAAGCUUACCAAGCCGACGAUCUGUAGCUGAUCUGAGAGGACGACCCGCCACACUGGGACUGAGACACGGCCCAGACUCCUACGGGAGGCAGCAGUGGGGAAUUUUGGACAAUGGGCGAAAGCCUGAUCCAGCCAUGCCGCGUGCAUGAUGAAGGCCUUCGUGUUGUAAACUGCUUUUGUACGGAACGAAAAGACUCUGGUGAAUACCUGGAGUCCAUGACGGUACCGUAAGAAUAAGCACCGGCUAACUACGUG